CUGGAUUUAUCUCAGAGCUCCAUUAGCAGAUGCUACAGACAAGUGGGAUCUGAAAGGAUGCAGCAUUCGGAAUGGUCUCCCCAUCGUGGACAGCCACAGCAGCAGAAUGCACUGGGCAUGGUGACACCUCUGUCACAUGCUGUCUUCCCUGUCUGGGAGGCUGUCGCUCACUUGGGACUCAAGCGAGUUCUCCGCACUGUGAAGUCUUCCAGAUAUCCUUCCAGCUCCCCACUUGGUCCUGACAUUUCUCCAGCAUGCCUCUGUCACCUAUUGCUUUGCUAUGCAAUCCCAGGCGUCUAGGUGAGGUGUCAAACCCUUCGGGAAGAAGCCAUCUUGGACAUCCAGCCCAGUCUGUAGCCCCAGCCACCACCUGACUGCAAGUACAUAAGACCCCAAGCAAGAAGUGCCCAGCUGAGCCCAGUCAACCUACAGAACCAUAAGAGAUGACUGUAAGUUGUUAUUUGAAGCCACUCUGUUUGGGGGUUAUUUAUUACGAAGCACCAGAUAACUGAAACAUUCAUGAUUCCCCAGGGCUGCUGGUGCAGUUACAGUACACUCAGAUCCAAACCAUAGAUGAGGACUGUGAGCUGUUUCUUUUUAUUAAAUUAGAUUUUGUGGUAAUACACAGAUCAGGACCAGUUAAAAUCUAUAUGCAAAACUUCUGUAAUUCUUUCUGUUUUUCUUAAAUAGGAGAAAUACUAUUCUAACACCACCUAGCAUUGUAUUACAUGUUUAUUUGCCUCUUUGACUAUUGUGUGUUUGAAUAUAGGCUCAAAGAUGGCAACGAUUGUGUCUGUUUUAUUCUCCUUUGUAUCCCCAAUGUUAGCAACAGUACUUGACCUACAGUGGGUCUACAAUAAAUAUUCCUUGAAUUAAUAAACACUUGAGGAGAGAAAAGAUAAAUGUAUCAUAGAUAAAAUGUUCAUAUAAUAAAUACAGUUAGUCCAUAGAGAACCUCUCACCUUGGCUUCAAGAAUAAGAUCUGACUGUGAAGAUAUUCAUAAUGUAUUAAGUAAAAAGGCUAAAAAUCAGCUUGCAAAUCAGUAAGUGCAGCAAAAUUACAUUAAAAAUGUUUUUAAGUGUAUAUUUACGAAACAACAACAACAAAAAAGACAAUAAGUCCAAAAAGUAUUUUCAACUAAUUUUGACAAUAGUUAUCUUUGGGGGAAAAGUUCACAAAGGGAUUUUGUUUUUUCUUAGUGCC